rnacentral:rRNA from 1 species
AUUGAACGCUGGCGGCAGGCUUAACACAUGCAAGUCGAACGGUAACAGGAGAAAGCUUGCUUUCUUGCUGACGAGUGGCGGACGGGUGAGUAAUGCUUGGGAAUCCGGCUUAUGGAGGGGGAUAACGACGGGAAACUGUCGCUAAUACCGCGUAGAGUCGAGAGACGAAAGUGCGGGACCGCAAGGCCGCAUGCCAUAGGAUGAGCCCAAGUGGGAUUAGGUAGUUGGUGGGGUAAAGGCCUACCAAGCCGACGAUCUCUAGCUGGUCUGAGAGGAUGACCAGCCACACCGGGACUGAGACACGGCCCGGACUCCUACGGGAGGCAGCAGUGGGGAAUAUUGCGCAAUGGGGGCAACCCUGACGCAGCCAUGCCGCGUGAAUGAAGAAGGCCUUCGGGUUGU